AAUAGAAGAUGGGGUUGGAAAAGUAAAUACAGCUGUGUUUUCUCCACCCCUGCGUGAGAAUGGAGGCGCCAUUCAGAAUGGAAGGAGGCCGAGUCGCUCCUUCAGCGCAGUCGGAACCCAGAGGAGUGUGCUACUGUUUCGCGCCAUAGAGAACACAGGUCAGCAUUGCGUUCUCACUGGAACAUCUCCCUGCCUUUGAUCACAGUCUCCACCACUUCCCACUGCCGGAGCUUCAUUAUCCCACACCAACUGCACUCUUGAAACAAACCACUCUAUGAAUCUGUUUAUCCCAGGAGUCUAAAUGGCAUUAGAAGGUGAGCCGGUGAUGGGAAUUCUCUGAAGACACUGAAUAAUUUACAGUCUCCCCAUGAAGUUGGAAAUUCA